rnacentral:rRNA from 1 species
UACGGGGGGGGGCAAGCGUUGUUCGGAAUUACUGGGCGUAAAGGGCUUGUAGGUGGCCAACUAAGUCAGACGUGAAAUCCCUCGGCUUAACCGGGGAACUGCGUCUGAUACUGGAUGGCUUGAGUGUGGGAGAGGGAUGCGGAAUUCCAGGUGUAGCGGUGAAAUGCGUAGAUAUCUGGAGGAACACCGGUGGCGAAGGCGGCAUCCUGGACCAUUACUGACACUGAGGAGCGAAAGCGUGGGGAGCGAACAGG